rnacentral:rRNA from 1 species
ACAGCAGUAGCCACGGUAAUACGGAGGGAGCUAGCGUUGUUCGGAAUUACUGGGCGUAAAGCGCGCGUAGGCGGUUACUCAAGUCAGAGGUGAAAGCCCGGGGCUCAACCCCGGAACUGCCUUUGAAACUAGGUGACUAGAAUCUUGGAGAGGUCAGUGGAAUUCCGAGUGUAGAGGUGAAAUUCGUAGAUAUUCGGAAGAACACCAGUGGCGAAGGCGACUGACUGGACAAGUAUUGACGCUGAGGUGCGAAAGCGUGGGGAGCAAACAGGAUUAGAUACCCGGGUAGUCCCUGUCUCUUAUAC